rnacentral:lncRNA from 1 species
GGGGCGGGCACCCCGCGCUUCCCGCCCUUUCCGCGCCGUUUUGCCUGCUGGGAGCGGCCGGCUGGACUCGGUGUCCCGGCGUGCCCCGCGGCGGGAAGCGCGGGCGGCCGCUGCGAGCAGGCGCCGGGCCCGCGCCGUCUCGGGGUACGGGCCGCUUCCCUGCCGCGUCCCCGCCGGUUCGCGCUGCGGGCUCUGGGACGGCGGCAGGUUGGCGGCCUCCCGGGGCGGCGCCGAGCGGGAGCGGCGGUGGGGUGGCCCCAGGCGCCCCCGUGUCGAGGAGGAAGGCCGCACGAAGACGCGCAGAGUGUAUUUGAGUAAGACCAGGAUGGAAAAGUCCAAUGGGGACCUGCCCAUCCCGAGAGUCGCCAUCCUGUCUGAGCUGUGCUGCGAGCACCUCACCCUAACGCACCUGGUGGAAGUGCAGAGAUCUUUGGUGGCUUUAACUGACCCUCAGGAGGGAGAGCUGACUCAGUCUCAGGAGAAAGCACUGAACUCGCUGGGCAUUUGGAAAACCGUAUUUGCAGCUGCCCCUGGGCCUGCACCAAAGGCCCC